rnacentral:rRNA from 1 species
GGGGAAUUUUGGACAAUGGACGCAAGUCUGAUCCAGCCAUUCCGCGUGCAGGACGAAGGCCUUCGGGUUGUAAACUGCUUUUGUACAGAACGAAAAGGUCUCUAUUAAUACUAGGGGCUCAUGACGGUACUGUAAGAAUAAGCACCGGCUAACUACGUGCCAGCAGCCGCGGUAAUACGUAGGGUGCAAGCGUUAAUCGGAAUUACUGGGCGUAAAGCGUGCGCAGGCGGUUAUAUAAGACAGAUGUGAAAUCCCCGGGCUCAACCUGGGAACUGCAUUUGUGACUGUAUAGCUGGAGUGCGGCAGAGGGGGAUGGAAUUCCGCGUGUAGCAGUGAAAUGCGUAGAUAUGCGGAGGAACACCGAUGGCGAAGGCAAUCCCCUGGGCCUGCACUGACGCUCAUGCACGAAAGCGUGGGGAGCAAAC